AAACAUAUCUUAAGUCGUGGUGAUCGAGAAGAUGGGGAAUUUUCUUAAAAUAUAGGAGUGAGAAACCGGGAACUCACAACGAUGCCGUAUGACAAGCGAGUCCGCCUUCCAUUGAGCAGGACUUCUCCACUCUGCGUCGUGUUCUUGGCCAGCCUCCCUGCGACAGAUCGGCCUCGAUCAAGAGAUCAAAAAGACGAAGCUUGCAAACCUGCUAGAGCGUCCAGUAACGUCGACUUUCCGGAUCCAGACGGCCCCAUGACGGCCAUGAGAUAUCCCGGCUCGGCGUAUCCAUUGAGACCGUGGAGCAGCGAGCGCGUCUCUCCCUUAGCAUUGGUGGCCGAGACGAAGAGAUCUCUCCAAGUAAGCCGCGCAGAUAUGUCGGUCUCCUCGUCCCCGGUCUUGUUCUUCCACAGGCUCAAGCUGAGGGGGCUCAGCAUUCCCAUGGUGUUGGUUUGAGCAGCGCUUCUCUCCAUCCGAGCGUGGCUUCCAUGAGGUGUUGUGGAGGACCGCAGCACGGUGGUGGUGGAGGCAUUCAAGCUCUGGGCAUGAAAGGAAUCGAAGAGGAUGAAGAAGGAGGAGAGAGCUUGAUCGGUGGAGAGGGAGAGAAAACGAGCAACGCAGCUGUGACAAGGAGACUCUGAAACGAGUUUAAAGACGAGAGACCAGUGGAGAAAAAGCUUGGCGAUGGAGAGUGAGUAACAACUGGGCGUGACGGCGUAGCACAAGCAGACGAUGACUGAAUUAAAGGCAACGAGACAAAGUGGACGGCUUCGCAGCGCAGCAAUCGCCCUUGUAAACAAACCAAGGAGAAAGAAAGAAGGCACGGAGAAGAAAGAAGGAAAGAAGAAAAGGAGGAAGUUUGGUGUGAAAAAUAACUGAUUUUUGCCGAGGUCAGGGAAUGAAAAGCUUUGUUUCUUUGGCGACCCACCGCCAUUAAA